CAACAACCUUGGGAGACAGACGGGUAAAUAGGUCUUCCCGUUCCACGGCCUUCCCUUCACUGUCCAUCCGUGUAUUCACUCAACAAACUUCUUUGUCAAGACUCAGAGUACUCUGUAUCUGGCACUGUUCUUGGAGUGGAGCUGCAGAGAGUAAUAAAGUGCUGUUUUAUGGGAGAGCCAUAUAAAUUAGGCAGAUAUGGCGCAGAGUAAAUGUAACAGAUCAGCAAAGAAGAACAAAGGAGAGUGUAUCCGAUAAAGUAAGACUUUCCUGGAAAGACAGCAGGAGCGACCUCACAAAAGAUCACUAAGAAAAAUUACCGAGUGGAAAACCGGGAGACUAGAAAUGUCUGCUCUGACAAAGUUUGUGGUGUAGUCCCGGACACUUUGAGUCAUCAGGAGUGCUUGUGUAAUUCUCUUCAGAGAGAGCAGAUGUCUCGUUAUGUUCCUGUUCAUGAUGUCCUGUGAUUACAGAAGCAUUGUAAUAUUUAUUCCAGCAAUGUAAUUCAUGCCACCGUAAAUAUGCCGAACUGUCUGGUAACUCCAUGAAGAGGCAAUGAAUUGUAGCGACAAAGGCGUGUUCUAGGCAGAGAAUGAUGUGCAAAUAAGAAAGCGUGCCGGCUCAUCUCUUUAAAAGAAAAUAGCUUUUACAAGACAAAUCUUAUUGCAGGAAGUUUGUU
rnacentral:lncRNA from 1 species